UACAAGUUUUAUCCCGUAUCCGGAUUCGGCUAACGGAUCGCUUGAUGACUGAUACCGCUCCCGCCACCGACGCUGGCCACGGAUCAAUGACGAGAAGCGAAGACCCCAUACGCAAACGCCUUUCCCGCGCGUGGCGAUUCAUUAUGCAGCUGCAGACAGUUUCCCUGACUGUUCGCGUAGUGACUCGCAGGAUGGAUCAUUACCCUCUCAAUGCAGAAGAGUUGGGAUGGUUGAGUAUCUCGCCUCUCAAUUCUCGCUGUAUGUUACCCUUGUUUUUCUCAUACUAUUAUUUCCUCGGCAGGCUCGCCUGCCGGGUGAAACAACUUCAAACCUGUUUAAUUUUCAAUCAGCGUCUGAACAAAUUAAUAAUUACAACUUUCAACAACGGAUCUCUUGGUUCUGGCAUCGAUGAAGAACGCAGCGAAAUGCGAUAAGUAGUGUGAAUUGCAGAAUUCAGUGAAUCAUCGAAUCUUUGAACGCACAUUGCGCCCCUUGGUAUUCCAUGGGGCAUGCCUGUUCGAGCGUCAUUUGUACCUUCAAGCUCUGCUUGGUGUUGGGUGUUUGUCCUUGCUCUCUAGUGGGGGGCGGGCUCGCCUUAAAUAAUGGCAGCCAGUGUUUUGGUUUUGAAGCGCAGCACAAGUCGCGAUUCAAGUCUAUACGCUAGUUUCCACAAGUCUUUUAUCACUUUUGACCUCGGAUCAGGUAGGGAUACCCGCUGAACUUAAGCAUAUCAAUAAGCGGAGGA
rnacentral:rRNA from 1 species